AGUUAAUAUAUAGGCAGUUAGAGUCAAUUAGCUGUUGAGAAAAGGACUGCUAACAUCACAAUUCACAGAGUGUUAUUGAAGGAUGUGUUAGGGAUUGCUAUCUUCAGUGUUUACGGAACGGAAACACUAGUUCCUGGUGUAAAUAUAGCCGAAAACACCAUGUACAGUGUCUUUUACAAAACGAUACGGUUUUGAUUAUUUUACUUUGAUUUCGGACCAAGUGUAGCAGAAUAAAAGAUUCGGACAUUAUGUUUAGUAAAUGGAGAAAAGAACAGAGAGAGGACAUUGUUAAAAAAGAUAUAGAAUUACCUGGUGAAUUUAAGAAUCGUUUAGCGUUUGGUUUAUACAAUGUCUUUACGCCAAAGGAAUGUCAGGAAUUUAUUGAUAAAACAGAGAAACGUGGUUAUGAAGUGGCCUUAUUAUCAACGUGUGUUGGAGAUGUGUUAAGAACGGAUAUUAGGAAAAGUGCUCGAUGUAUCUGGGAUACGAAAAAGGAAGCUGAUAGGAUCUGGAACCGUAUUAAAGAUUUUGUUUGUACCGAGUUCAAAGGUUAUCCUGUUAUUGGACUAAACGAAAGGUUGAGAUUUUUGAGGUACACCGAUGGGGAUUAUUUUAAACCACAUUUUGAUGGAUGUUAUCAAAGGGAAAAUGGUGAAAAAAGUUUGAUCACUAUACAGUUAUAUCUUAAUGAGGGUUUUAAAGGUGGGUCAACAACAUUUUUAUCACGAGUAACAGAUGAACGAGUCGAAUUUGUUCCUAAAACAGGGGCUGUUUUAAUAUUUGAACAUAAAAUAUAUCACGAGGGCUCGUUAUUGGAGGAAGGUUUAAAAUACUCGUGUAGAACAGAUGUCAUGUUUGGUAAAGAUAAAAUACCAGAAUAACUAUAACAAAAACAGUUUUAUAAAUAUUUAAUGUGCUCAAGACUUCUGUUCAAUGCUGCAUGAUUAUCCCCUGUCUGUUUUCCCCAGAAUACUUGUGCCAAUGAAAUACCAAUGUUAACCCGGGAACAUAGGACCCUGCUCUAGGGGUUCCGUGGGUCUCUUCACCAGUGCUCCAUAAUAUUUUAGAAAAACUGACUGUAAAUGGGAUCUUCUUGAGCAUACCUUAAUGUUUAUAGCGUAUGCGUCAAUUCAACGUGUGGUAAUCUUUUCAAUUCAUUAAGAUCUAAAAUGACUUAGAUUCAAGACCGAAAAGCCCCCCAACCCCAAAUUAACGCGAGAACAUUAACUUCUUUACGGGCUCCCGGGCCUACCACACCCACAGACCCGUUCUCAGUCCACCCCAUAAUCUCACAAUUCUGGCUCCAUAUUAACCAAGGUGGAAUUCUCCAGGUUGACAACAUUAAUGAAAAGCUGAAACCAGUCGGUAGUCUUGCUUCAACAUUGCUUUUGUAUAUCUAACCUUUUCAAAAUAAUAUUUAAAUUGUAUUUAAUCAAAUGUAUUAUGUGUUUUGUAUGUGAUUUGAAGCUGAAACCAAUCAGUAUUCUUGUUUAUUUUAUGAUCAGUAGUGGAAUACCGCGUUUUAUCAGUGAAAUAAAAGUGUUAUUCCACUGGCCAGCAGUAGUCCAUGUUGAUUUUACCUAAAAUGAUUGUAAAAUCAUAAAAUAAAUAGAACAUUUGUCGUUUUGUCGUGAAUAACAUAUUUUAUUUCAUCUCUAAGCAGGAAAACGUUUAUAUUUUCACUCAUGCUACGCAUUCGUGAAAAUAUAAGUUUUCUUGCUUCUCGAUGAAAUAAAAUAUGUUAUUCACGACAAAACGACAAAUAUCCUCUAUAUAUCUAUCUUUUCACGUUGAUAUUUUUACAUUUUAUUUUAUCAAAUGUAUUUUAUUAGUUGAAUGCUGUGUAUUUCUUUAUAAUAUGCAAAUAUCAGUUGGUCUGAUGCAUGCCGGACUAUACACGUGUAACCCAAUAUUUUGUUUUUGUUACUUUCUCUUAAUUUAAUAUAAUUGGGUUACAUAAAUAUAUAAACGUUGAAUAUAAAUAUCAA